rnacentral:rRNA from 1 species
UUGACGGAGAGUUUGAUCCUGGCUCAGGACGAACGCUGGCGGCGGGCCUAACACAUGCAAGUCGAACGAGAUGCCUUCGGGCAUCUAGUGGCGAACGGGUGAGUAACACGUGAGGAACCUGCCCCGAAGACGGGGAUAACCGUGGGAAACUGCGGCUAAUACCCGAUAACCCCGAUGCGGCGCAUGCCGCGACGAGGAAAUGCUCCGGUGCUUCGGGAGGGUCUCGCGGCCUAUCAGCUAGUUGGUGAGGUAACGGCUCACCAAGGCAUCGACGGGUAGCUGGUCUGAGAGGACGAUCAGCCACACUGGGACUGAGACACGGCCCAGACUCCUGCGGGAGGCAGCAGUGG